AAUGAACGUUGGCGGCGUGGAUUAGGCAUGCAAGUCGUGCGAGAAUCCCCGCAAGGGGAGGACAGCGGCGAAAGGGAGAGUAACGCGUGGAUACCUACCCUCAGGACCAGGAUAGCCGCGGGAAACUGCGGGUAAUACUGGAUGAUAUCUCCGGAUCAAAGGUGUAAUUCCGCCCGGGGAUGGGUCCGCGUCCUAUUAGCUAGUUGGUGGGGUAACGGCCUACCAAGGCAAAGAUGGGUACGGGGUGUGAGAGCAUGCCCCCG
rnacentral:rRNA from 1 species